GUGUACGGCCACGCCACCCUGAACGAGCCCGAUCCCGUCGGAUCUCGGGAGCUAAGCAGGGUUGGGCCUGGUUAGUCCUUGGAUGGGAGACCACCCAGGACAACCAGGUGCUGCAGGCC
rnacentral:rRNA from 1 species